rnacentral:rRNA from 1 species
CCUACGGGGGGCUGCAGUGGGGAAUAUUGGACAAUGGGGGAAACCCUUAUCCAGCGACGCCGCAUGAGGGAAGAAGGUUUUCGGAUUGUAAAGCUCUGUCAGCAGGGACGAUAAUGACGGUACCCACGGAAGAAGCCACGGCUAACUACGUGCCAGCAGCCGCGGUAACACGUAGGUGGCAAGCGUUAUCCGGAUUUACUGGGUGUAAAGGGAGCGUAGGCGGGAUGUCAAGUCAGAAGUGAAAGUUAUGGGCUCAACCGAGAAACUGCUUUUGAAACUGAUUUUCUUGAGUGUAGGAGAGGUAAGUGGAAUUCCUAGUGUAGCGGUGAAAUGCGUAGAUAUUAGGAGGAACACCAGUGGCGAAGGCGGCUUACUGGGCUUUUACUGACGCUGAGGCUCGAAAGCGUGGGGAGCAAACAGGAUUAGAUACCCCAGUAGUC